CCGUCCACUCUUCACCAUGUCCUCACCCUGACCUGGCUUCACCGUCCAGGAGCAGGAGAGGGAGACACCUCCACCGCACGGAAGAGGAAGGAAGGGGGUGUGAGGUGUCAUUGUCACACAGCAUCACAAACCACCAAGGUCCUCGGUGACACACGACGACGAGCUAGGCAUCCCUGCUCCACUGGCUCUAGGCUUGCCCACGUGACUCACUUAGGCCAGCGGACAUCUGGCGAGAGUCCCACGUGAUGGUUCUGGGGAGAAUGUGUCUGUUUCCAUCGAUGUCUUGCACUUUGGCCAUCACCACGAGGAAAGGCUUCCUCGGAGCAGCUGCCGCCCCUUGAGCUGGGCCCAGAAUGCACACACCUGGAGUGGAGUCAUCCCUGAGCAGGGAGAAGCCGAGGCUUCCAGCCACGCCCAGCCUAGAACAGGGACUCCAGGCCAAGCGCGGACGCUGCGCGAGGCCAACUGAGGUGAGCAGAGCUGCCCAGCUGCCCCUGUAGACGCUUAUGAGGUGGCACGAGGUUCUGGUUAUUGGCUACGUGUGCAGUGGUGAAGAUCCUCUGUGCUCGAGGAGCAAACCAGUGCUCAGAGAAGUCGAGUGACAUGUGCCAAAUCACACAGCAGACGUAAGGCAUCAGGGGUGAGUGGAGGCCCAACAUCUCUGCUGACCAACAGACGGUGAAGCCGGAGGCGGCUGGGAAACAAGGUCCUCCUUGACAAAAGCGGACAAGGCAGAGAACCCUCUUCCUUACCUUCUCCUUCUUGCUGUGGAUGAAGCAAAGGACAUAGAGCCUGGGCGUCGGCGGCCAUCUUGCAGCCUGAGGACAAAAGCCAACCCUCUAAGCACGGCGGGGUGGGAGGGUGGAGGGGGCCUGGGGCCUUGGUGACCUCACCGAGUUGGAGAGCCGACACUGGGACCUCUUUUCCAGAGUGGACUGUCCCAUGAGGAGAAUGAGCCUGAAUGACGAGGGGCUGCGGUCAGGUCCCCGGGCUGAACGUCCCGGCCUGCGUGGCACCCCCUCACCUCACAGCCGCCUUCCUGCCACGUGCCUGGGUCCACCCGCAGAGCAGGGGGUGUCCAAAAGGUGCCAGAGAGAGGGGAUUUUAAGUAGGCUGUGGGGGGCUGAGAGAACAAAAGGGAGACGCCAGGAACAGGGAGUUAAUCCCCCGGGCCUCACUGGGCAAUGCCACGAGGGACAGCAGACACAGGAGGCUCCCCUCCCCACUCUCCCCUGCCCAUCCCCACCAGUCCCCCAGCCCAGCACGACCACCACCACACAGCUAGGGACGAUCCGUCAGGAUGCCCUGGUGGGGAGACCCACCGCACCUGCCCUGUGGCCACACUGAGGUCCAGGCAGGUUCCCUGAAGGUAAAGCCCUGCUCAGUGCCCCCACCCUGCCACCUCAUCCAGGCCCCUCAUCUGCUUACCUGCUCACAUGCUCUGCCCUCCUCUGGGAAUCCUGCCCUGUCCUUGGACGCCUUCCCCAGUGCCACAUCCUUCAAGAAGCUCUCUUCAGUCCAGUCAACCCCGACGGACUCCUUCCAGACCCUGCCCAUCCUCCUCCCAGCCUUCUCGCACCUUCCCCAGGGCCUCUCCCCGGGCUCCUGCGGUCCCUCCCAGCGGGCUCCUCCCUCUGACUCCUGCCCCAUCUCUUCCCAUGGUGACCUGCCUAUGUCACCUCCUCAGAGAAGCCCUCUCUGAUACACCAACACCAACAUGGGAAACCUCCUGUUAGUCUGUUAUGUUGACUGAGAUUUUUCCCUUUAUAAUACAUAUUCGAUUUGUAACUUUUUUUCAUUUGUCUUCUUGUUCAUUGUCUGUCUACAGCAUCAGGUUGAUUGAUUCCCACUGUAAAUAUGGGUCUUGGUUCAUAGUAGACAUCUAUCUAUAAUCUAUCUAUAAUCUAUCAUCAUCUAUCAUCUAUGAAUCAUAAUAUAAUAUAUAACAUGUAAAAUAUAUGCUAUA